rnacentral:rRNA from 1 species
GACGAACGCUGGCGGCGUGCUUAACACAUGCAAGUCGAACGGAAAGGCCCUGCUUUUGUGGGGUGCUCGAGUGGCGAACGGGUGAGUAACACGUGAGUAACCUGCCCUUGACUUUGGGAUAACUUCAGGAAACUGGUGCUAAUACCGGAUAGGAGCUCCUGCUGCAUGGUGGGGGUUGGAAAGUUUCGGCGGGUGGGGAUGGACUCGCGGCUUAUCAGCUUGUUGGUGGGGUAGUGGCUUACCAAGGCUUUGACGGGUAGCCGGCCUGAGAGGGUGACCGGCCACACUGGGACUGAGAUACGGCCCAGACUCCUACGGGAGGCAGCAGUGGGGAAUAUUGCACAAUGGGCGGAAGCCUGAUGCAGCAACGCCGCGUGCGGGAUGACGGCCUUCGGGUUGUAAACCGCUUUCGCCUGUGACGAAGCGUGAGUGACGGUAAUGGGUAAAGAAGCACCGGCUAACUACGUG